UAAUGCCUUCAACUCUGCCUUCAACUCUCAAUUUACUUUUCAGGGGAUGGAAAGUUUUCACUGAAAUUUGUAACUGGUUCUUUUAGUCUUAAUCCUUAUUUUGCACAGAGAGAUCCACAACCAUGCUAAUGCCUUUGUGUUUGUCUUUAUGUAUGAAACCUUCUUCUUUGUUAAAACCCAUGUUGGGUUUUUUUCAUCAGGUCAAAUUCCAAGAUACACUUAUGCGUUUUACUCUGUAUUAUGAUGAGGAUGGGCUUCUUGAUCUUAACAUGCUUGGGUUGAAAGACAAGAUUCGGACUUUCUAUAACUUUGGUCCUGCCAUGGACCUUAAUCUUACUUACAUUGAUGAAGACAGUGAUGUGGUGACACUAGUUGAUGAUGAUGAUCUGGAUGAAGCUGUUAGGCAGAAUUUGAAUCCUUUGAGGAUUACUGUAUUCUCUUCUAUUGACUCUAUUUCUUCAAAGCCGUCUCAAGAGUCAUCCAUAUCCAUGACUGGCGUGUCCUUAAUAGUGGCUAAACUUGAGGAAUGUUCCUCAAGGUUCAGUAAACUUGAGGAAAGUAUGUCGAAGUUGACUAAACUUGAGGAAUGCAUGUCAAAGUUCACUAACCUGGGUUUCGAUUUGGAGCAUCGAAGUGGUGGAAACAGGGGAGACAGAAUGGCUUCUGAUUGCCCUAUGGGUCCUCAAGGUGCUGAGGACCUGCGUGAGUCUUCUAUUGAUGUGGCUGAACCCAAGGCAUUUUCAAGUGCUAAUGUUGAAGAACUAACCCAAAUUACCAACCAAAAGGGAAAGGAAGAUAGUAAUGCGGUUGGUUCUGUGGCGAUAUCAGUUCCCCCUACGAAUUCUCAUGUGGAUAUAAAAGUCAAUUGUCAUGAGGAUUCAGUCGAGGUAGCAUCCCCAGAUAAGAAUACCUGUCCGAAAGAGGUCCCUGUUCUUGCUGGAGUUGAGCAGUUUCCUGGGGUGAAAGUUGCUUCUAAUCUUCAUGACAUUUCUCCACAGAAUGAGUUUGCAGCAGAAAAUGUAUUCCCUCCUUGGUAUGACAAUAGUUAUCCUAUUAAGAAGAGUUAUUAUCACCAAGAUAUCCAUGACAGAGUAUUUCACGGUGGUGUUCAGUGUGAUGGUUGUGGGAUGCUUCCGAUAGUGGGGUCUCGGUUCAAGUCUAUAGUGAGAGAAGAUUAUGACCUUUGCAUCACUUGCUUCCGGAGUAUUGGAAAAGACGAUGAGUAUAUUAAAUUAAAUCUACCUCAGUCAUUUCAAUUCCACAAUUCAGAUGAGAAGCGAUGUGGUCCUCCACACUCCCUAGAACCAUGGUGUACAAUGCCAGAUGCACCAAAAGGCCCCAGAUGCUUUGAUGGACAUAUUGCUCUUUCAGAUGGCUCUGUCAUAGCCCCAAAUAUUUCAGUUGCCAAGAUAUGCAAAAUGCGUAACAAGGGAUCUACUAUCUGGAGUUUUGGGACAAGGCUUGAGUGGAUUGGAGGAGAUAAGUUCACUGAGGAAGUUUCAGUUGAACUUCAGGUUCCACUUCAUGGCUGCGGAUUGGGUGAGGAACUUGACGUUGUUGUGAAUUUCAUUGCACCUGAGCGGAGCGAUCUUUACGUUUCCUUUUGGAGGAUGUUAUCGCCCUUCGGAUAUGAAUUUGUGCAGAAAUUUUCUCUCCUCAUUGAGGUUUCCUAUGAGCUCAAUCACUUCUCAGUCGCUGGUUGUAAUUAAUUUAUCAACCAGCAGUUGCGCCUCUUCUACUACAGGAUUUUUCAUGAAGGAAAUGAAUGAGAGAUUGAUGAUGAAGAACUGGGGAAGAUCAACUGAGUAGCAUUGGAUGCUAAGGACCUAGUGACCUUCUAAAGGAUCUAUCAACAAUGCUUUUUACAUCGUGAAUGCGACUAGGUGAGGAUGACAUCUCACAAAACAGAACGAGGGGGACGUACAUCCUCACUUAACUAUUAAACAAAGAUUGUUAGGUUAGAUGAUAUUGUCAAUAAGAAUGUAACUACAAAGACAAGAAUCACCAGUUUAUGAGCUGAAAUAAACUCUUUCUAGUUCCAUUUCAUGCUUCACACAUAGAUAUGCAGCUGUAGAGGCUUUCUGGGUUAUUACUUGCUAGUACUUUGUUUCAGCCAAGCUAGUGUAUCUCCAAUAGUUUUCAUGGAGUCAACAACAAUAACCACCACCUUCCAGUUAGCCAACUGCCCUAUCAUUUGGUCCUAGAUUAUUUCUCCCGGAAGACAAAAGGCCACAGUUUCAACAUGUAAGCCUGGGCAUUCUUUGGAUGAUAUUAUCGUCUCGCGCCACAAAACCCACCUCAAUUCAGGUCUUAAUUCACAGGCUAAUUACUAUCCACCAUGUCCUGACCCUGAGCUAACCUUGGGUCCGCAACCUCAUACUGAUACUGGUGCACUCACUCACAAUUCUUUUGCAACACCAAGGAGUGACUGAUCUACAAGUGAUCAAAGAUGGAAAAUUGGUUGCCAUUAAUCCUGUCCCAAAUGCAUUUAUCGUGAAUAAAGUUGAUCACAUUCAGGUAAUUGAUCUCACUACCUCAAUUCUGUAAGAAAUAAAUCCCACAUCGGUUAGACACAAGUCUACCGAGUGAUAUAUAUGAUUAAGCCCACCCUUAAACAAUCAAGAGAUCUUUAUCAAGACUUGGUGAGUUGACAUGCUGAAGAACUUUACAAAGGAUUCUGCAAGCAUUAUUGCAGUCUUGAAGUUGUAAAGCUGUGUAGUUAGUUAAAAGGCUAUAAUUUGUUGUACUAGUAUUUUGUUUGGUGGGAAUUGUUUGGCAGAAAGUCAUAAAAUAGUGUAGUUGGACGGCUGAUUCCAAUUGAGCCGAAAGAGUACAAGAUUGCAUUAUUGAAAAGUCCUACUUAUUUUGGCAAAUUGUACUUGUAUUUUGUUUGGUGGAAUUGUUUGGCAGAAAGUCAUAAAAUAGUGUGGUUGGACAGGUGAUUCCAAUUGAGCCGAAAGAGUACAAGAUUGCAUUAUUGAAAAGUCCCACUC